rnacentral:rRNA from 1 species
ACGGAAGGCAGCAGUGGGGAAUAUUGGACAAUGGAGGAAACUCUGAUCCAGCGACGCCGCGUGAGUGAAGAAGUAUUUCGGUAUGUAAAGCUCUAUCAGCAGGGAAGAUAAUGACGGUACCUGACUAAGAAGCACCGGCUAAAUACGUGCCAGCAGCCGCGGUAAUACGUAUGGUGCAAGCGUUAUCCGGAUUUACUGGGUGUAAAGGGAGCGUAGGCGGUUUUACAAGUCUGAUGUGAAAGCCCGGGGCUCAACUCCGGUAUUGCAUUGGAAACUGUAGAACUAGAGUGUCGGAGGGGUAAGUGGAAUUCCUAGUGUAGCGGUGAAAUGCGUAGAUAUUAGGAGGAACACCAGUGGCGAAGGCGGCUUACUGGACGAUUACUGACGCUGAGGCUCGAAAGCGUGGGGAGCAAACAGGAUUAGAUACCCUGGUA